UGUUCCCCAGGUCUGUAUCACAGAACUCUGGUCUGUUGGAUCACGAAGAGGUGGGGGAGGGGUGACAGGCAGCAGAAGUCAAAGCCCAGCCCCUCCCACAGCCUCCAGCUCCGCAAAUUUCAAUCUCCAGCUUCCCCAAUUCUCUGGAUCCCACUCAAAACGUUAUGAGGUGGCUUUUUGCAAUGUUUCCAUCUCCUCAAGCUAUCAGGAAGACCUUCACCCACAAGAUGCCCUUGAACCCAGACAUCUGCUGCUUUCUGAACUGAGUCGGGGACUGCCAAACCAUCAGGCUCUUCUUGAAGGUUUUGUGGUUUUCCGGAAACUUCAACUUUCAGGAUUCCUCUGUCGACAGCUCCCACUUCCCUCCAUGAUUGAUAAGGACACAGUGCACACUCUGAUGAUUUCUGACAACAUUGAAGAAACAUGGCUGUGCAUCCGAAUGUUCUGACCUGCUAAAUCUGCUCUUCUGGAGGUGACCAGCAUCUUCCCAGUGCAUGCUGAGGUCCUAAGAAUGUGGAGAUUUCUGAGGCUGCAACUACACAGAGAGGACCAAGAGGUCUGAGAAACCAGGAAACAAACUGCAACUUCCAUCUAUUUGGCCACUGGGUAUUGAAUCUCCAUCCAGAAGCCAGCAUUAGACAUAUUAUAACUAUACAGUUGUGUAUACAGGAAUGAAGACAUAUACUAACAGUUGGAUGGCCCAGCACAGGCCCAGGGAAGGACCAAUGAACCUGGGGGCUCUGACCUUGAGCUGUGUCAAUUUGGAAUUAGAGGGGCUGAGGGUGAUGGCCUGAAAGACACUCAGCAGGGAUGUGGAGCCAAGGGAUACUCCUCUGGCAACUCUAUGAAAAUAUAAGAGACUGGAAGUUUUGCUGAACCUGAGAGGCAGAGGUAAUGCAUGUCUAGGUCAUUUGGAGGAGCUAUCCUCAGACAUCUGUGGGACAAUUUCAGUUCUCCUAAUUUCCCUUAAACUUUAUUUCCAGCUCUUAUGUCAUGGAAAAUAUCCAGUAUAUGUGUUUUUUAUGAUGUCUGUUUGUACAUUACAGCAAUUCUGAAAUAAAAAAAUUUAAAAUAAAAAA